rnacentral:rRNA from 1 species
GACGAACGCUGGCGGCGUGCCUAACACAUGCAAGUCGAACGGGGUUGUGAGAGCUUGCUUUUGCAACCUAGUGGCGGACGGGUGAGUAACGCGUGAGUAACCUGCCUUACAGAGGGGGAUAACGUCUGGAAACGGACGCUAAUACCGCAUGACAUAUAAUUACCGCAUGGUAAAGAUAUCAAAGGAGCAAUCCGCUGUAAGAUGGACUCGCGUCCGAUUAGCUAGUUGGAGGGGUAACGGCCCACCAAGGCGACGAUCGGUAGCCGGACUGAGAGGUCGAACGGCCACAUUGGGACUGAGACACGGCCCAGACUCCUACGGGAGGCAGCAGUGGGGGAUAUUGCACAAUGGGGGAAACCCUGAUGCAGCAACGCCGCGUGAGGGAAGACGGUUUUCGGAUU